UUCCAGCUCCAAUAGCGUAUAUUAAAGUUGUUGCAGUUAAAAAGCUCGUAGUUGAAUUUCGGGGUUAGUAGGUUGGUCAUGCCUCCGGUAUGUACUGAUCUCACUGAUUCCUCCUUCCUUAUGAACCGUAAUGCCAUUAAUUUGGUGUUGCGGGGAAUUUGGACUGUUACUUUGAAAAAAUUAGAGUGUUUAAAGCAAGCUAACGCUUGAAUACAUUAGCAUGGAAUAAUGAAAUAGGACGUUCGAUCUUAUUUUGUUGGUUUCUAGGAUUGACGUAAUGAUUAAUAGGGAUAGUUGGGGGCAUUAGUAUUCAAUUGUCAGAGGUGAAAUUCUUGGAUUUAUUGAAGACUAACUACUGCGAAAGCAUUUGCCAAGGAUGUUUUCAUUAAUCAAGAACGAAAGUUAGGGGAUCGAAGACGAUCAGAUACCGUCGUAGUCUUAACCAUAAACUAUGCCGACUAGGGAUCGG
rnacentral:rRNA from 1 species